AGCUUGCUGCGUGUAUGGUUAGUGGCAGACGGGUGAGUAAUGCAUAGGAAUCUACCUAGUAGUAUGGGAUAGCCACUAGAAAUGGUGGGUAAUACUGUAUAAUCCCUGCGGGGGAAAGAUUUAUCGCUAUUAGAUGAGCCUAUGUCAGAUUAGCUAGUUGGUGGGGUAAUGGCCUACCAAGGCGGUGAUCUGUAGCUGGUCUGAGAGGAUGAUCAGCCACACUGGAAAUGAGACACGGUCCAGACUCGUACGGGAGGCAGCAGUGGGGAAUAUUGGACAAUGGGCGCAAGCCUGAUCCAGCUAUGCCGCGUGAGUGAGGAAGGCCUUAGGGUU
rnacentral:rRNA from 1 species